AACGCACAUUGCGCCCGCCAGUAUUCUGGCGGGCAUGCCUGUCCGAGCGUCAUUUCAACCCUCAGGCCCCUCCGGGGGCUUGGUGUUGGAGACCGGCGAUCCGCUCCCCCCGGGGGGCGGCGCCGCCUCCCAAAUCCAGUGGCGGUCUCGCCGCAGCCUUCCUUGCGCAGUAGCAUCUUAUUUCGCACGGGAGAGCGGCGCGGCCACGCCGUAAAACCCCCCACUUACGAACGGUUGACCUCGGAUCAGGUAGGACUACCCGCUGAACUUAA
rnacentral:misc_RNA from 1 species